rnacentral:rRNA from 1 species
GGCUUAGAGUUUGAUCAUGGCUCAGGAUGAACGCUGGCGGCAUGCCUAACACAUGCAAGUCGAACGGAGCACCCCUGACGGAGUUUUCGGACAACUGAAGGGAAUGCUUAGUGGCGGACGGGUGAGUAACGCGUGAGGAACCUGCCUUUCAGUGGGGGAUAACACAUCGAAAGAUGUGCUAAUACCGCAUAACAUAGCAAUGGGGCAUCCCAUUGCUAUCAAAGAUUUAUUGCUGAAAGAUGGCCUCGCGUCCAAUUAGCUAGUUGGUGAGGUAACGGCCCACCAAGGCGACGAUUGGUAGCCGGACUGAGAGGUUGAACGGCCACAUUGGGACUGAGACACGGCCCAGACUCCUACGGGAGGCAGCAGUGGGGAAUAUUGCACAAUGGGGGAAACCCUGAUGCAGCAAUGCCGCGUGAAGGAUGAAGGUUUUCGGAUUGUAAACUUCUUUUGUACGGGACGAAACAAAUGACGGUACCGUAAGAAUAAGCCACGGCUAACUACGUGCCAGCAGCCGCGGUAAUACGUAGGUGGCAAGCGUUAUCCGGAUUUACUGGGUGUAAAGGGCGAGUAGGCGGGAUUGCAAGUCAGAUGUGAAAACUAUGGGCUCAACCCAUAGACUGCAUUUGAAACUGUAGUUCUUGAGUGAUGGAGAGGCAGGCG